UACGAAGGGGGCUAGCGUUGUUCGGAUUUACUGGGCGUAAAGCGCACGUAGGCGGACUAUUAAGUCAGGGGUGAAAUCCCGGGGCUCAACCCCGGAACUGCCUUUGAUACUGGUAGUCUUGAGUUCGAGAGAGGUGAGUGGAAUUCCGAGUGUAGAGGUGAAACUCGUAGAUAUUCGGAGGAACACCAGUGGCGAAGGCGGCUCACUGGCUCGAUACUGACGCUGAGGUGCGAAAGCGUGGGGAGCAAACAGG
rnacentral:rRNA from 1 species